GACGAUUGACUCAUGUUGCCUUGGCGGGCUCCUCCCGCCAGAGGAUACAUCAAAACUCCUGUUUUAACGGUGUUGUCUGAGCUACAAGCAACGAAUCAAAACUUUCAACAACGGAUCUCUUGGUUCUGGCAUCGAUGAAGAACGCAGCGAAAUGCGAUAAGUAGUGUGAAUUGCAGAAUUCAGUGAAUCAUCGAAUCUUUGAACGCACAUUGCGCCCCUUGGUAUCCCGAGGGGCAUGCCUGUUCGAGCGUCAUUUCACCACUCAAGCCUGGCUUGGUGUUGGGCGACGUCCCCCUUUAGGGACGCGCCUCGAAACGCUCGGCGGCGUGGCACCGGCUUUAAGCGUAGCAGAAUCUUUCGCUUUGAAAGUCGGGGCCCCGUCUGCCGGAAGACCUACUCACAAGGUUGACCUCGGAUCAGGUAGGGAUACCCGCUGAACUUAAGCAUAUCAAUAAGCGGAGGAAAAGAAACCAACAGGGAUUGCCUCAGUAACGGCGAGUGAAGCGGCAACAGCUCAAAUUUGAAAUCUGGCUCUUUUAGGGUCCGAGUUGUAAUUUGUAGAGGAUGCUUCGGCGGCGGCUCCGGUCUAAGUUCCUUGGAACAGGACGUCAUAGAGGGUGAGAAUCCCGUAUGUGAUCGGUUGCCUUUGCCAUGUGAAGCUCCUUCGACGAGUCGAGUUGUUUGGGAAUGCAGCUCU
rnacentral:rRNA from 1 species